rnacentral:rRNA from 1 species
UUGAACGCUGGCGGCAGGCCUAACACCUGCAAGUCGAGCGGAUGAAGGGAGCUUGCUCCUGGAUUCAGCGGCGGACGGGUGAGUAAUGCCUAGGAAUCUGCCUGGUAGUGGGGGAUAACGUCCGGAAACGGGCGCUAAUACCGCAUACGUCCUGAGGGAGAAAGUGGGGGAUCUUCGGACCUCACGCUAUCAGAUGAGCCUAGGUCGGAUUAGCUAGUUGGUGGGGUAAAGGCCUACCAAGGCGACGAUCCGUAACUGGUCUGAGAGGAUGGUCAGUCACACUGGAACUGAGACACGGUCCAGACUCCUACGGGAGGCAGCAGUGGGGAAUAUUGGACAAUGGGCGAAAGCCUGAUCCAGCCAUGCCGCGUGUGUGAAGAAGGUCUUCGGAUUGUAAAGCACUUUAAGUUGGGAGGAAGGGCAGUAAGUUAAUACCUUGCUGUUUUGACGUUACCAACAGAAUAAGCACCGGCUAACUUCGUG